AAUUCAAAGUCCAAUUCAUCUUCUACAUCCUAUGACCUUUUCCCAUAUGCCCUAGCUCUUAUGUGGGCUGAGUAGGGGCAGACUGAGACAUUUUGAGACCCAAUAUGCACCAUGUCUCCCUCCUGCAACGAAACAAAUACUAUGUUCAAAUUCAUAUAGAUUAGGCAACUAGUGCACUCUCCCCACCCUCUCCCACCAACAC
rnacentral:misc_RNA from 1 species